rnacentral:ncRNA from 1 species
CAACCUGAACUCAGUCGUGAUUACCCGCUGAACUUAAGCAUAUCAUUUAGCGGAGGAAAAGAAACUAAAAAGGAUUCCCCUAGUAACGGCGAGUGAAACGGGAAGAGCCCAGCGCCGAAUCGAUCAGUCUUUGGCUGCUUCGAAAUGUGGCGUAUAGGUGUAGUCUUCCAGCAGUGUCGUAUGUCCGAAGUCCUUGCGAUUGAGGCCAUAAACCAGAGAGGGUGCGAGCCCCGUUCUGGAUAGCGGCGCUGUUGGUUCGACUGCUCCUUGGAGUCGGGUUGCUUGAAAGUGCAGCCUAAAGUGGGUGAUAAACUUCAUCUAAGGCUAAAUAUUGACUCGAUUGCGAUAGCGAACAAGUACCGUGAGGGAAAGUUGCAAAGGACUUUGAAGAGAGAGUUCAAGAGAACGUGAAAUCGCUGGAGUGGAACCGGAGACAGUUGAUGUUGCUUGGAGACAAUCUUGGUGGCUGAUCGCUUAGCUGUGAUCGCCGCCGGGAGUCGUUUCCUAUGCUACGCCGACGGCGUUGGCCGCUCGUUCUGGCCCGACAGUGUUGCCCAUCUCGCAAGAGACGGUGUCUUGUUGUCGGUCGUUGGUUCGUGGUGGCUAGCGUUUAGUUACGCUAGUGUGUGUGACGUCGGUGUGAAAGUCGACGACGUUUCCGACCCGUCUUGAAACACGGAUUACGGAGUGUUUGUCUGCUGCGAGUCAAAGGGUGUAAAAACCUUGCGGCGCAAUGAAAGUGAAGGUUAGUCUCGAACUGACCGACGUGGGAUCCGUGCUCUUCGGAGUGCGGCGCACCACGGCCCUUGCGUGUCACUUGUGACUGUGUAGAGGUUGAGC